rnacentral:rRNA from 1 species
CCUACGCGGGGCAGCAGUGAGGAAUAUUGGUCAAUGGACGAGAGUCUGAACCAGCCAAGUAGCGUGAAGGAUGACUGCCCUACGGGUUGUAAACUUCUUUUAUAAGGGAAUAAAAUGAUGCACGUGUGGCUUUUUGUAUGUACCUUAUGAAUAAGGAUCGGCUAACUCCGUGCCAGCAGCCGCGGUAAUACGGCGGAUCCGAGCGUUAUCCGGAUUUAUUGGGCUUAAAGGGAGCGUAGGUGGAUUGUUAAGUCAGUUGUGAAAGUUUGCGGCUCAACCGUAAAAUUGCAGUUGAAACUGGAAGUCUUGAGUACAGUAGAGGUGGGCGGAAUUCGUGGUGUAGCGGUGAAAUGCUUAGAUAUCACGCAGAACUCCGAUUGCGAAGGCAGUUCACUGGACUGCAACUGACACUGAGGCUCGAAAGUGUGGGUAUCAAACAGGAUUAGAUACCCUUGUAGUC